CUUGAGGAGGGGGGGUCCCUCAGCCCAGAUUGCUAGAGGGCACAGGCCAGGCUAAGGGACCCCACCGAUGCACA
rnacentral:pre_miRNA from 1 species